rnacentral:lncRNA from 1 species
CCCGGAGAGAAGCCGCCUUGGAUGGACAGAGGGACUGAGCUACAAGCAUCCAGCCAGUCGUGUCCUGGCUCCCCGGCAGCGGUUCCCAACGUCCGCUGCUAUCCGCGCCGGCUGCCCGCCUGCCUGCCUGGCAUCUCUCUCCCGGGACACCGCCUGACCACACCCAAAGGGCCAGAGCCUGGAAGGAGAUGGACAGAAACAUUUAGGCGUAUCAGCCACCUGGCCAUGUCUAGAAUCACAGAAGCCAUAGCUCUGAGGAGGCUGGGCUCAGCUACCAGAACACUCAGUGACUGCUCCAUCUCACCCACCCAUGUGGACAGACCGCUACACAUUAUCACGGACACAGGCUGAGAGUAUGUGUGUGUGCUCAUCUGUCUCUGCUCAGCUGGACUUGCAUCCCAGGGAGGCAGAGGCAGAGGCAGCCAUGGACUUGAGGACUUGGUGGCUGGGUGGCGAAGAACAGUGGGAGAAUGAGGAGAGACCCUGAGUUGAACAACUCCCCCUGUGGCCCUCAAAGAGAAGAAAUGAGUCUCAAAUGCUGCAAGUCAGGGUGCCUGGACACACUGAGGGCUCCUACUUCUGUCUGGUAGCUGAGGGGGAAAGGCUUCCUGGAGGAGGUGACAGAUUAGAUUCAAGUGAAGGCUGAGGUAAGGAACAUGAAGGAGCUGCUACUGUGGAGAGGCAGUGAAGGAGAUGGUGAAUGGGGUGUGUGUGUGUGUGUGUGUGUGUGUGUGUGUGUGUGUGUGUGUGUGUGAGCUCCAUAUCCCAUGUGUGCUGUAGUGGUGUGGCAGGGAAAUGAGGGGUGGGCAGAGGCAAGUUGCCAUGUGAGUCCAGAGGACUAUGGGUAGCUCCUGAGAAGACACAUGGAUCCUGAGGGCAGAGGAAAACUUAAUGAUUUAGUUUGUGUUUAUUUAUUUAGGAGACAGAAUCUGUGUAGCCCUGGCUGCCCUGGAACUGUAUAUAGACCAGGCUGGCCUCCAACUCACAGAGACCUCCUGCCUGCCUCUGCCCAAGUACUGGGAUUAAAGGCAUGGGCCACUAGCCCUAACUACUCACUGUG